UACGAAGGGGGCUAGCGUUGCUCGGAAUUACUGGGCGUAAAGCGCGCGUAGGCGGCUUUGCAAGUCGGGUGUGAAAUCCCCAGGCUCAACCUGGGAACUGCAUUCGAGACUGCAUUGCUAGAGUAUGGGAGAGGGAAGUGGAAUUUCAGGUGAUAGCGGUGAAAUGCGUAGAGAUCCGGAAGAACACCGGUGGCGAAGGCGGUUAGCUGGGCAGUUGCUGGACACUGAGGCGCGGACAGCGGUGGGGAGCAAACAGG
rnacentral:rRNA from 1 species